rnacentral:rRNA from 1 species
UCGGCAACGGAUAUCUCGGCUCUCGCAUCGAUGAAGAACGUAGCAAAAUGCGAUACUUGGUGUGAAUUGCAGAAUCCCGUGAACCAUCGAGUCUUUGAACGCAAGUUGCGCCCGAAGCUUUGGUUGAGGGCACGUCUGCCUGGGUGUCACACAACGUUG